UCCUGUGUAUACCAUGAUGUUCAGGAC
rnacentral:sRNA from 1 species